GAUGAUACUUCUCCGGAAUCUCUGUAUGUUUAGUGAUGAUUCACCUUUGAACCCUUUUCCAUCUGAUGACUGUGAACUUGCUGU